rnacentral:tRNA from 1 species
GCCUCCGUAGCUCAACGGUAGUAGCGAUCGCUUCGUAAGCGAUAGGUUGAGGGUUCAAAUCCCUCCGGGGGCU